UACAGAGGUCCCGAGCGUUGUUCGGAUUUAUUGGGCGUAAAGGGUGCGUAGGUGGCAAAGUAAGUUGGAUGUGAAAUCCUGGGGCUUAACCUCAGAAUUGCAUUCAAUACUGCUUAGCUAGAGAGCUGUAGAGGAGACUGGAAUUUACGGUGUAGCAGUGAAAUGCGUAGAUAUCGUAAGGAACGCCAGUGGCGAAAGCGAGUCUCUGGGCAGCAUCCGACACUGAGGCACGAAGGCCAGGGAGCAAACGGG
rnacentral:rRNA from 1 species